rnacentral:rRNA from 1 species
UACAGAGGUCCCAAGCGUUGUUCGGAUUCACUGGGCGUAAAGGGUGCGUAGGUGGUGAGGUAAGUCGGAUGUGAAAGCUCGGAGCUCAACUCCGAAAUGGCAUUGGAAACUACCUUGCUCGAGGGUUGGAGGGGGGGACUGGAAUGCUUGGUGUAGCAGUGAAAAUGCGUAGAUAUCAAGCGGAACACCAGUGGCGAAGGCGAGUCCCUGGACAACUCCUGACACUGAGGCACGAAAGCUAGGGGGAGCAAACAGG